GCCAGGUGCGGUGUUGCGUGCCUGUAGUCCCAGCUACUCGGGAGGCUGAGGCUGAAGGAUCGCUUGAGCCCAGGAGUUCUGGGCUGUAGUGCACUAUGCUGAUCGGGUGUCCGCACUAAGUUGAGCAUAAAUAGGGUGACCUCCCGGGAACGGGGAACCACCAGGUCGCCUAAGGAGGGGUGAACCGGCCCAGGUUGGAAAUGGAGCAGGUCAAAUCCAGUGCUGAUCAGUAGUAUUGCACCUGUGGAUAGCUACUGCACUCCAGUCUGGACAACAUAGUGAGACCCCGUUUCUA
ensembl:misc_RNA Metazoa_SRP Metazoan signal recognition particle RNA